rnacentral:rRNA from 1 species
GCCAGACUCCUACGGGAGGCAGCAGUGGGGGAUAUUGCACAAUGGGGGGAACCCUGAUGCAGCGACGCCGCGUGAGUGAGGAAGUAUUUCGGUAUGUAAAGCUCUAUCAGCAGGGAAGAAAAUGACGGUACCUGACUAAGAAGCCCCGGCUAACUACGUGCCAGCAGCCGCGGUAAUACGUAGGGGGCAAGCGUUAUCCGGAUUUACUGGGUGUAAAGGGAGCGUAGACGGUUAAUCAAGUCAGAAGUGAAAACCCGGGGCUCAACCUUGGGACUGCUUUUGAAACUGAGUAGCUAGAGUGCAGGAGAGGUAAGCGGAAUUCCUAGUGUAGCGGUGAAAUGCGUAGAUAUUAGGAGGAACACCAGUGGCGAAGGCGGCUUACUGGACUGUAACUGACGUUGAGGCUCGAAAGCGUGGGGAGCAAACAGGAUUAGAUACCCCUGUA